UACGUAGGGUGCAAGCGUUGUCCGGAAUUAUUGGGCGUAAAGAGCGUGUAGGCGGCCCGAUUAGUCCGCUGUGAAAGUCCAGGGCUCAACCCUGGAAUGCCGGUGGAUACUGUCGGGCUAGAGUCCGGAAGGGCGAGUGGAAUUCCUGGUGUAGCGGUGAAAUGCGUAGAUAUCAGGAGGAACACCGGUGGCGAAGGCGGCUACCUGGACAGAAACUGACGCUGAGGCGCGAAAGCUAGGGGAGCAAACAGG
rnacentral:rRNA from 1 species